GACGAACGCUGGCGGCGUGCUUAACACAUGCAAGUCGAACGAAGUGGCGAACGGGUGAGUAACGCGUAAUCAACCUUCCCUUCAGUGGGGUACAACAGUUGGAAACGACUGCUAAUACCGCAUACUGAAGGCGGGGAUUGCGUCUGAUUAGCUAGUUGGAGGGGUAACGGCCCACCAAGGCGAUGAUCAGGAGCCGGUCUGAGAGGAUGAUCGGCCACAUUGGGACUGAGACACGGCCCAGACUCCUACGGGAGGCAGCAGUGGGGAAGCUUCCGCAAUGGAGGAAAGUCUGACGGAGCAACGCCGCGUGAGUGAUGACGGCCUUCGGGUUGUAAAGCGCUGUUAAUCGGGACGCGGUACCGGAAUAGAAAGCCACGGCUAACUACGUGCCAGCAGCCGCGGUAAUAC
rnacentral:rRNA from 1 species